ACCCGCUGAAUUUAAGCAUAUAAGUAAGCGGAGGAAAAGAAACUAAAUAGGAUUCUCUUAGUAAUGGCGAAUGAACUGGGAUGAGCUCACCAUGGGAAUCGGGGUCUUCGACCUUGAAUUGUAGUCUUGAGACGCACCGCCAACAGAGGCGCAGGUGUAAGCCUCUUGGAAGAGAGCAUCGCGGAGGGUGAGAGUCCCGUCUGUCACCUGCAGUCCCCUGUGUACGGCAUGCGUUCUGAGAGUCACGUUCCUCGGGAUUGGAGCGCAAAUUGGGUGGUAAGUUUCACCUUAAGCUAAAUAUUGGUCCAGAGACCGAUAGCAAACAAGUACCAUGAGGGAAAGGUGAAAAGGACUUUGAAAAGAGAGUUAAAAGUGCUUGAAAUUGCUGAAAGGAAGCGAAAUGGAACCAGUUCUGCUGGGCGAGAUUGUCGCAUGCCAAGGCCCUGUGCCGGCCGCAUGCGGUGCUUCUUGCCUUGUGUGUCAGCUGCGGUCCGAAGUUGGGGAAAACUCUGGGGACAUGGAUGCCAACCUCCGGGGGGGUGAAUGUGCCUGGCAAGACCCGUCCUUGGACUGUGAGCAGUGCUUCAGCAUGUUUGCGGUGCUGACGAAAUGCUUCUAUUCGACCCGUCUUGAAACACGGACCAAGG
rnacentral:rRNA from 1 species